rnacentral:misc_RNA from 1 species
GGAGGAUUAUCCAAAUUUUGAUGAAGCCAGUAUUUUGAAGGAUCCACAACUAUGUUUGGGUAUGAAGUUCACUAAUUGGUAUGUGUACAGGAAGGCAUUAAAGGAAUGGGCAGUCAAAAGAGGUUUUGAUUAUAUGUUUGUGAAAAAUUCAACCACCCGGAUAAUAGCCAUUUGUGAAGAAAAAUGUGGCUUCAGAAUUCAUGCUUCGAAAAUGCGGAAAAGUACAUCCAUCCAAAUUAGAAGUUUCAAGCCAAAGCAGGAGUGUCCAAGGGAUUUCAAAAAUAAUUUGGCGAAUUCAAAAUAUAUAUCAGACAAAUAUAUGGGUGACUUGAG